GAGACUUAUGAUGAAAAUUUGGGAAUAACCUCACAAGAAUCAAGUUUUUUCAAGAUUGUGGAAAAAUCAGGAACAUCUGACCCAAUAGAUCAUUCAUACUGUGGAAUGUUUCCUAAAGAGGACUUGUUUAAAGCCGUUAGUGGUGGUCCCAACUGGAUUGCUGUAAAACCAGUCAAUCGCGAAUGG